UACGUAGGGGGCAAGCGUUAUCCGGAUUUACUGGGUGUAAAGGGGGCGCAGACGGCAGCGCAAGCCAGGAGUGAAAGCCCGGGGCCCAACCCCGGGACUGCUCUUGGAACUGCGCGGCUGGAGUGCAGGAGGGGCAGGCGGAAUUCCUGAUGUAGCGGUGAAAUGCGUAGAUAUCAGGAGGAACACCGGUGGCGAAGGCGGCCUGCUGGACUGCGACUGACGUUGAGGCCCGAAAGCGUGGGGAGCAAACAGG
rnacentral:rRNA from 1 species